UAUUCAUACUGCAGUGUUCUUUGUCCUUGCUUAUGAUCAUCCCAUGUUUCUCUCCUCAGAUUCAGCAUAGCCUAUCCAUGAGUGUGCUUCUGUUGGAGGUGCUCCCACAAGCAGCUGAUAGACCUGUUCAGAGAGAAUGUGGAAGACUGCGUAGCCAUCAGCAGCCCAGGCCAUCCCGGCCAGCCCCUCAUACAGGUUAACACAAAGACGCAGGAUGGAGUUAACUGGUACAUUCCUGACUUGGUGGAAGAUGUUCAACUCCUCUUUUUUCAACAUGGAGUCCUUCCUGUCCUCCAUUUCGUCCUUCAUGAAGAUGAUUCCGGACCACAGGCCCAAAGACCUGGACAAGCUCAUCUGCCAAAGGGCCGGGUCCUCCACUUCCCCAUCCAAUCCCCCCAUGUCACAAGAUGUCGGCGUGACGUUACAGAUUUCGGUGUGACAUUGCAGAUGUUGAAGUGACGUUACAGAUUUCGGUGAUUAGUGGACCUGUGUGAAGUGUUUGGGUGAGAUGGUCAGAGGUGGCAACAUUAAGAAAACAUUGUUUGUUAUCUCUAUAAGUUCUUCAUCAGUGUAAGGAACAUAAACUCAGCAAAAAUGAAACAUCACUUUUUCUGGACCCUGUCUUUCAAAGAUAAUUCUUAAAAAUCCAACUUCACAGAUCUUC